rnacentral:rRNA from 1 species
AGCAGCCGCGGUAAUUCCAGCUCCAAUAGCGUAUAUUAAAGUUGUUGCAGUUAAAAAGCUCGUAGUUGAAUUUCGGGAUCAGUGGGUCGGUCGUGCCACUGGUAUGUACUGGCCCUACUGGUUCCUCCUUCUUGAAGAACUGUAAUGCCAUUAAUUUGGUGUUGCAGGGGAAACAGGACUGUUACUUUGAAAAAAUUAGAGUGUUUAAAGCAGGCAAUCGCUUGAAUACAUUAGCAUGGAAUAAUGAAAUAGGACGUUCGAUCCUAUUUUGUUGGUUUCUAGGAUUGACGUAAUGAUUAAUAGGGAUAGUUGGGGGCAUUAGUAUUCAAUUGUCAGAGGUGAAAUUCUUGGAUUUAUUGAAGACUAACUACUGCGAAAGCAUUUGCCAAGGAUGUUUUCAUUAAUCAAGAACGAAAGUUAGGGGAUCGAAGACGAUCAGAUACCGUCGUAGUCUUAACCAUAAACUAUGCCGACUAGGGAUCGGAUGAUGUUAAUUUUUAAUGACUCAUUCGGCGCCUUA